GAGAGGAGGAGGAGUGUGAGAGCACCAUGGGGCUGAACCCCCACAGGAGCUCAAAGGAAGGAGAACCGUGAGAGGAGGCUGGAGAAGGAGGCAGAGCCAGAGCAGGUUCUACAUAGGUCUAAGAACUCCUGAGAGCCAAGUGGUCGGACCUGACAAAAACAGCCUGUGCCAGCCCUGGGAGACUUUGAGGUCAUCAAAAACAAAGAAAUCUAAGAAAAUGGCAUAGCCAAGAGGAGCCUAAGGAGACAAACCAACAUCAUUUUUCAGAAGGUGCUGAUGUUUGCAGGCCUAUGGUGAAGCAAAUGGUUGUGAUUCACGAGGUGAGGCUUUGGGGCUCUUCUUCCUCUCUGAUGGCUCCGCCACGCUCAUGUGGGCAGGAAGGAUGGAGCUGUGCCAGGGCCGCCCUCUGACAUCAGAUCCGUGGGCACUAGAUCCUGCUUGGUGGUGAACUGGGUGCGUCAGAACCCAAGGAUUAAAUAGCUUUCGAAAUCCACUGGCUUGUCUGCGAUCGGCCAGAGGGCCGGGGCACAUACCCAGACCUUCUGCCAGCUCAGGAAUAGUGCAAAACACCAUCCAUGCAUACAUUUGGGGGAACCGGGGAGAGGCCUCCCACAAUCAGCCACAGCCCAGGCCCAAGGCUGAUGGUUAUGGCCCCAAGUGCUCGGGAAAGCUGAGCUCCUGAGAGGGGAGGAUGGGGCAGACCCUCUCUCCAGGCACCUGGGUGGGGCCUAGGGAAUCUGCCCUGCUGGCUGCUUUCCUGGUGGAAGGGAGCAGCCUAGGAAGGCUUCUGGAGAACCCAAUUGCUUGGGGGAGGGAACACUACGGUGUGUGUGUGUGUGUGAGGAGGGUGACGAGGAGCAAGGGGUAUCCUUUCUCUGCACCCAGAGGCCAUCUGCCACUUGUCCUCCUUCCUGGCAGCAAUACUGAGCCACCCAGACUCUGCUAGACAUAUGAGUGCUAAAGAUAAAAAUACUCGAAGGACAUAUGCCUCUGUGAACUGUAUUGCUAAAUGUGCUUUAGGAGUCCUUCAGCUUCCCUCUAAACCACAAUUUCACUCCACCCCUGCUGGUCCCACUUACAAGAAGAAGCAGGGAACGUAUUAUGGCCUUAAAGCCACCAUGUGUGUGAGGGCACGAGUGUGCGGAUGCAGGUGUGCCCUCUGCCUGAGCAGCUCCAGUGAGGCGGCAUCCGUAUCCCCCUGCACGUGUGUGCACGUGAGUAGGUGCUGGCGUGUGUGUGGACAUAUGUUCCCCUAUUUGUGCUUUGGUGUCUUUUGUGUGCUUGCCUUCUUGUGCGUGAGCACCCAUGGGUUUACCUGGGCACGAGGGUCUGUGUGGGUCUGUACUGGGCGUGUGCAUGGAUGUGCGCUCUUCUCAUGUGUGGUAGGCUUGCUUGUAUGUGAGGGCUGUGUGGGUGUGCACGAGUGGGUAUGCUCACGAGAGGAGUUGUGCACCCGUGUGCCUUCUGUGUGAGUACAUGCCUGUACGUGAGCACGUGCAGGGGGUCCAGCUCUGAGGAGAAAGAUUCACGCUGGCCCCUGCGCCUGCCCCGGCAGACGUGCCCCCAUUGGUGGGACGGUUAGUUUUCAUCUCUCACAGAUGAGGUGGCCAUGUCCCCCCCACAACCCUGUACCUAAUCUUCUUCACCUGAAGUUUCCCCAAACUGUGACAGUGCCGUCCUUCACCUCCCGUCUGUCUCCCGCCUUCACUAGCUCGUUGGUUUACAGCGUUCUGGGCCCCUGAGAGGCUCUGGAAGGAAAGGGCUCCCAAGUCACCUAUUUUCGGUAAAAGGUGCAUUCAGUACACCUUGUGGACAGUCUCCAUGUGCCUGAGCAGACGGAAGACCUUGAGAAGUCCUGAAGUAAAGACACUUGAUUAAAUUAGCCCCACACAGGGUUUCCUGGUUUGGAAUGACAACACCUUGCUGGAGUCGGUGCACAUCUGGGGACAUCUGCAACACGCUGUCGAGACACCCCGUUGUGUACGGGCAGCCUCCUUGCUUCUCUACGGACCGUGUGGAUGCCUCCAUCGUCUGGCUGAUUGGUGUUGUGCAGACACAGACUGGGCCUGUAGUAGGCCUGGGAAACACAUCCUGCCCUCUGCCUCUGGGGCCUCAGGGAGCUCUGGCCUUGCCCGGAGAUGCCAAGUCAGGAGAUGCCAAGUCAGGGGACACUUCUCCAGAAAUGGCUGAGGUCUCGCAUUUGGCCCCAGGCCUCAGCGCUGGUGGCCAGGUUGCCACACCUUCUCGCCUAGUCCCGGCCUGGCCUCAGGGCAGAGGAUGCCAGAGCGGUGAGCAGAAGGGAGACUCAGCUGUCCAGCCAGUCCUCCAGGGCUAGAAGCUGAGUUUCUGAUUCCCAGUCCAGUGCUCUGCCCCUCAGCCUCUGCCCUGCCAGACCAGGGGCCCAUCCAGUCCUCCGCCCCAAGACUUCCGGCAGCAAGACCUCAAAGCACGGUGGUUCUGCCAUCUUGAAGCCCCAGCCAGGGGCAGGUAGACAGCAGAGGCCUUCCUGCUAGUCCCACUCCUGAUCGGACCACUGCUUCCAGAGACAAAGAUAGAGUCAAGGAAGCUCCCUGCACUUCUCUUUCACUCCCCUGUAA